UGUGUCUAAUAACUUUUGGAUCAAAACUAAUAAUUAGAUAAAAUCCGAUUGAAAGUGAUAACUUCACAUUCAAAUGGAAAUAAACGUCGAAAUAUUUUCACUGCAACUAACGCUAUCCGCAACCAGAUUCCAUUGGCAGUUCUCUCCAAACACGCCAAGUAUAGGAAUAGAAUAACAGCAUCGAUCAUUUCAUGAGAUGUAAUCGACGACACCGAAUUACCAAUAAAUAAUAUCAUUGGAGGGAACCUGAGAAACUUAACUUUAGAAGGAAUCAAAUAAUAAUUAAAUAGUUGAAUUAAUAAUAAUAAAAAAAACAUUAAAGUUUUGGAUGCUCAUGCUCAUUCACCCUUUCAAUUUCUGAAACCUUGAAUCUCUUUCCCGCUACAUUGUCUCUUUGCUUGCAUAAAAAAGCUCAAAGUAACAUAUGGUGUUUAAGCUGUCGGAAAG
rnacentral:lncRNA from 1 species